rnacentral:rRNA from 1 species
GUUCGGAUUGUAGUCUGCAACCCGACUACACGAAGCCGGAAUCGCUAGUAAUCGCGGAUCAGAAUGCCGCGGUGAAUACGUUCCCGGGUCUUGUACACACCGCCCGUCACACCAUGGGAGUCGGAAAUGCCCGAAGUCAGUGACCCAACCGGAAGGAAGGAGCUGCCGAAGGUGGAGCCGGUAACUGGGGUGAAGUCGUAACAAGGUACC